rnacentral:ncRNA from 1 species
UUCCCGUUUCUCCUCCCUGAGCGGGUGUCUUUACCCUGUAAAGACCUUCUGCCCCUGACCUCCCCCUUUGGUUCAGGGGCAUUUUUUU